rnacentral:rRNA from 1 species
GAUGAACGCUGGCGGCGUGCCUAAUACAUGCAAGUCGAGCGAACGGACGAGAAGCUUGCUUCUCUGAUGUUAGCGGCGGACGGGUGAGUAACACGUGGAUAACCUACCUAUAAGACUGGGAUAACUUCGGGAAACCGGAGCUAAUACCGGAUAAUAUUUUGAACCGCAUGGUUCAAAAGUGAAAGGCGGUCUUGCUGUCACUUAUAGAUGGAUCCGCGCUGCAUUAGCUAGUUGGUAAGGUAACGGCUUACCAAGGCAACGAUGCAUAGCCGACCUGAGAGGGUGAUCGGCCACACUGGAACUGAGACACGGUCCAGACUCCUACGGGAGGCAGCAGUAGGGAAUCUUCCGCAAUGGGCGAAAGCCUGACGGAGCAACGCCGCGUGAGUGAUGAAGGUCUUCGGAUCGUAAAACUCUGUUAUUAGGGAAGAACAUAUGUGUAAGUAACUGUUCACAUCUUGACGGUACCUAAUCAGAAAGCCACGGCUAACUACGUG